GGCGCUGUGGCGGAAUUGGCAGACGCGUUGGACUCAAAAUCCAAUGUCCUUUGGACGUGUCGGUUCGAUCCCGACCAGCGCUAUCA
rnacentral:tRNA from 1 species